rnacentral:rRNA from 1 species
UUCGCAAUGCCCGAAAGGGUGACUAUGCGACGCCGCGUGUGCGAUGAAGGUCUUCGGAUCGUAAAGCACUGUCAGCUGGGAGGAAUCUCUGGAGGCUUAAUAAGCUUGCAGGGUGACAGUACCAGCGGAGGAAGCCACGGCUAACUUCGUGCCAGCAGCCGCGGUAAGACGAAGGUGGCUAGCGUUGCUCGGAAUUACUGGGCAUAAAGCGCGCGUAGGUGGUCGUGUAAGCGGGAGAUGAAAGCCCAUGGCUCACCCAUGGAACUGUCCCCCGGACUGCACGGCUCGAGGAAGGAAGGGGAGAAUGGAAUUCCCGGUGUAGCGGUGAAAUGCGUAGAUAUCGGGAGGAACGCCGGUGGCGAAAGCGAUUCUCUGGUCCUUUCCUGACACUGAGGCGCGAGAGCUAGGGGAGCAAACAGGAUUAGAUACCCUGGUAGUCCUAGCUGUAAACGAUGGGCACUAAGUAGAGGGGUUUU